rnacentral:rRNA from 1 species
CAAUAGCGUAUAUUAAAGUUGUUGCAGUUAAAAAGCUCGUAGUUGAAUUUCUGGUGGGCGCGCCGGUCUUCCAAGUGUUGUACUGGGCGCAGUCCGCCAUCCUUGUGGAGAGGGCUCGCAUUGAGUUGCGUGUCGGAUCUGCAUCAUUUACUGUGAAAAAAUUAGAGUGUUUAAAGCAGGCUGUCGCUUGAAUACAUUAGCAUGAAAUAAUAAGAUAGGACUUCGGUCUAUUUUGUUGGUUGCGAACCGAGGUAAUGAUUAAUAGGGAUAGUUGGGGGUAUUCAUAUUUAAUUGUCAGAGGUGAAAUUCUUGGAUUUAUGAAAGAUGAACAACUGCGAAAGCAUUUACCAAGGAUGUUUUCAUUAA